rnacentral:lncRNA from 1 species
UUUAACAAUAAGUAGUUGUAGAUUCCUAAAUGGUGGCCUAAAGCAGGUUGAGAAAGGGAUGCAUAGUUAGAAGUAGAAUAAUAGUUUACUGAUGACCUUCAUUAAGUCUUUACUCUUUUCUCAGCAAAGCUAGAGGAAACCAAAGUCAUAGAACAUCUGAACUCUGUCCAAACAUCGGUCGUAUUUCAAAAUUUCAGCCACCAUCCCGCAGCCAACGAUAAUAUCUGACACUUCCUGACAUCAUGAAAGCCACCAUCUGUCUAUCACCAAAACCCUGUACUUUUUAAAGACUACUUGGCUUGAUCCUUAAUGAAGCUUCAAGUUGAAUGCACAGAUCGCUU